GUAGGUGAACCUGCGGAAGGAUCAUUAUAGAAUUGUUCUGUUCCAUACGGGCAUUUUCUAAAAAUCCGUAUCCACACCGGUAGGGGGUUUUUCUCUCUUUUUUUUUUCUUUUCUUGCUUCGGCCGGAAAAGAAAAAAAGGGGGAGAGGCCCCUUGCCGUAGGGUUUCCUCUCGCUCCUCUCUCUUUCGCCUGCUUUUAUUAGUGGGUUGGGAGGGGGGAAAGGGCGUUUGGUUUCCUGUCUGACCCAUGC
rnacentral:misc_RNA from 1 species